CUGCAACCGAUAGACAGAUUGAGAUUACUAAUGAAAUAUAUGUUGAAAACCUGUGUUAUUGACUUUAAGGGUAAUUGGGAAAACCACCUAGAUUCGAUUGACCUUCUUGCAACAAUAGUUACUAUGCGAGCUUUAAGAUGACACAUGUUGAGGCAUUGUGUGGAAAGAAGUGUAGAAAUCCAACUUGCUACGAUUUUAGUGGAAAUAUAGCAUUGGGGACAUGAUUCGUUGAAGUAGGAAUAUCCAAAGUUAUUCCCUGAGAUGAGUUACGAGGGCGUAACUCGUUUUCUUUAAGGGGGGUAGAAUGCGAUAGAAAUUCGCGCUUUUUACCUAUUUUUGUAGCAAUUUUAUGCAUUUUAUGCUCAUUUUUAGCAACUUAUACAUGUUGAUGUAAAGCAAAUAGAUUCUCCGCAUAAGAAAAAUGUGUUCAUGAGUAACACAAGCAACUUUAAGUUGGCAAAAGAGUGCACAUGAGUGACACAAGUAUUUCUCAAGUAAGAAUGAAUUAAAGACUUUUGAAAAAUGUGUGAAUUUUCGUGUCAAGUUUCGGGACGAAACUUCUUUUAAGAGGGGUAGAUUGUAAUCCCCCGUAAUUUUAUACAUUUUAUUGAUAUAUUUUAACGUAUAGUUAAUUAUAUUUAAAUAGAAUUUGCGAAUUUUAGAAAUAAAUUAUUUAAGUAACGAAUAUUUAUUUUUAUACGUUUUAAAUAUCUCAACGAUUUAUGAAAUUAAAAUAAGUUUAGAAUUUUAUGUUGAAAAGAAAUUGAAUUACGAAAACCGUUUGAAUUUUGAAAACAAUCCUAAUUGGUUUUGGAUUCAAACACUUAAACUCAACCUUAGUUCUAGCCCAAGUUGAUAAAGCCCAAAUAAUAAGACCCAAAACACUUUACUCCUUUCCUCUCUUUCAAUGUUACGUAAAAGCAAAAACAACAAAAACUUCUCUGCUUCACUUUCACGUGAACCAUAACCCUUAACCUCUUCCCCCUUUGCUCAGCCGCCAGCCGGCAGCCACGCUGGACCACCGUCACUACACCGACCUCCUGCCACCAGCCCCUCCGCCGUCGCGCACGCAACCACCACCUGUACCACCACCUGCUCCCGCCGACUUCCCAUCGCCACAACCCAGCCGUCGACCAACCUCCUCCCUUCUCCUUUACAUACACAAGAAAUCCCCCCUCCUAUUUUCUUUGUUGCUCCGCACGCAGCUACCAGUCGCGCUGCACCACCGUCGCGCCACCAAGAGUGUUGAACCACCGACGUACCCACCGUCUGCUGCCGCCACUGUCGCCGGCCAGCAGCUUCCUUCUUCCUCACUUUAGGUGGAGAAUUCUCUUUAGGCAACUUUUGAAAGUGUUAAGGUGACGUAUCAGUUUGUUUACACAAG